GAUGAACGCUAGCGGCAGGCCUAAUACAUGCAAGUCGAACGGUGUAGCAAUACACAGUGGUGCAUGGGUGCGUAACAUGUAUGCAACCUACCUUACAUUGGGGGAUAGCCUUUCGAAAGGGAGAUUAAUACCGCAUAAGACAGUAACUAGGCAUCUAGUAGCUGUUAAAGAUUUAUCGAUGUAAGCUGGGCAUGCGUCCAAUUAGUUAGUUGGCGAGGUAAUGGCUCACCAAGACGAUGAUUGGUAGGGGAACUGAGAGGUCAAUCCCCCACACUGGCACUGAGAUACGGGCCAGACUCCUACGGGAGGCAGCAGUAGGGAAUAUUGGGCAAUGGGCGCAAGCCUGACCCAGCCAUGCCGCGUGCAGGAAGACGGUCCUCUGGAUUGUAAACUGCUUUUGUUAGGGAAGAAACUUCCGUACGUGUACGGGACUGACGGUACCUAAAGAAUAAGGAUCGGCUAACUCCGUGCCAGCCGCCGCAGUAAGAC
rnacentral:rRNA from 1 species